rnacentral:misc_RNA from 1 species
GAAAUGCGAUAAGUAAUGUGAAUUGCAGAAUUCCGUGAAUCAUCGAAUCUUUGAACGCACAUUGCGCCCUCUGGUAUUCCGGGGGGCAUGCCUGUCCGAGCGUCAUUGCGAACCCCUCAAGCACGGCUUGUGUGAUGGGCCCUCCCGCGGCUUGGUCGUCAAGACGGGCCCGAAAUGCAGUGGCGGCUUCGCGGUUAUCCGAUCAGCCAGAGCGUAUGGGGACUUUCUCUCUGUCACACGCCCGCGGCGCGGACCGACGCCUGUCGACCUUCAUUCAUCGUUUUCUCGGUUGACCUCGGAUCAGGUAGGGAUACCCGCUGAACUUAAGC